UCUAAGCUCAAAGACUAAUCCGUAUAAUGUCAGAACGUUUUCUCCUCGCUGACCACCAAGAAUAAAUUCAAAUUUAAAUUCAAAUUAACGUCAACCUGAUUCCAUUUUGUUGUGCCCUAAUAAACUAAAAUUUCGAAUCCGCCGCUGACCUCGCGGGCACGAAGAUCAAAAUCGGGCCGGAGUCGUUCAAUCAAAGACAGUUCAUUGGUAUAUAAAUAUGUCUCUGAUUGCCCUGGGAUUCACGCAUACUUCAGUCUACUGGAGCUUAUUUGAUCUCAAAAGGUGACAUCUUUUCACUUAUUCAAUUAGUUCUGUUCCUGGGUUUUUGCUUAAAUUUUGUUUCUGAUUAGUAAGUAGAAAUUCUGUGUUUUUUUUUUCCUACGUAAAGAACCCAGAUUUCAGUCCUCUAUAAGCUCAAACAAACCCCAUCUCAAUAAAUUUCCCAUGUUUUUGAUGACGGGUUAUAGAAAAUUUCAUCUGAGCAUCUGGGGUUUUGUCAAUCUUGAGUUUGGGUUGCUUCUGUAGUCGAUUUACUUAUGUAGACAAUUACUUCAUAGAUUCUGGUGUAUCUGGGCUUUUUUUUUUCUUUACUUAUAUACACAAGAUGCUUUUCGAGUCUUUUCACAAUACAUCCAACAUUUGUCUUUAACUCUGUUUUGUUGUUCAUAAAUGAAGCCCAUGCUUAGGCCCGCUUACAGUGUCCACACAACAUCACAUAAGCAAUUGAAGUAAAAAACACAUUCAGACAAAAGAAACAUUAUAGUGUAAGAUGAGAUAAACAAUCUCCAUCAAUAUGAUAUAUCCUUUAUUGAGUUCCUUUUAUCGAGGCUUAGAAACAGUUCACAUGUUGUGCAAUGUUAAAGGUUAAAGGGACUUCAUUUAUUUGAUGUUCAUUUAGUUUUAAGUUUCACUUUGGUACUGGUGAAAAUUUAGUAUCACAAGAAGGUAGGCAACUUCAAAAGCUCUAGGUUUUGUUUUAACUAAUGUAACACAAUUGAUUUUGGAUUGAAUUGGCCCUAAGAUCUGACUUGAAUUUGAGCCUUUCUAGCUCUUGCAGAUCACUGUAUCCUCUGUAAUGAGUCCGAACAUACUAUACAGAACUAUUAUUAUAUUUUUUCGUGCAAUUUGGGAAUAGUAUUGCAUUAAAUCUAUGUUAUGGACUUUUUUAUAAUUAUUAUAUUAGAGGGCCACAAUAAAGAAGUUUGUUUUGAAAAAUUUUGGUUAAAGAUCACUUUCCUCUGUUAUACAGUAUGAAAUUUUGUUUUUCCUAUAUGAUUCUGAUUAUUGUUAGAAGAUAAAAGAAAUUGAUCCGAGUAGUUGAUACUGUUUUGCUCUUCCUGAUGCUCCUUUCUAUCUUAGAUAACUAUAUCACAAGAUCAGGAGUUAGAAUUGCUUUUUGCGAAGCUUUCUCUAUGAACUGAAGCUUUCAGGCAGUGGUUAGUUGCAGUUCAAAUUAUUUUGUGGAGUUAGAGAUCAUAAUCAUUUUGCACUGGGAUCUAUGUAACUACAUGUUAGUCUCAUUGUAAUGUUCGUAUCCAACGUGCUGAUAGAUGUUUAAUUGUUUGUUCUGUUGUUCAUCUUAAAGAAUGAAAAGAUUUGUGUAUACAUUUCUCUUAAGGUAUAACUUUAAUAGACAUUCUUAAAAAAAAAAAAGCUUUAUAAUUUUCUUAAAAAAGCGUCGGCUGACAACACAUGCAUACAUUUAUAGUUUAUUCCAGGCAGUAAAACAUUAACCAACAUAAACAGCUAGGAUGUUUAUCGUAUAUAAUCCAAGAUGCUUUUUGAGUCUUCUCAAAAUACAUCCAACAUUUGUCCUUUAACUCUGUUUUGCUGUUCACAUAUUUAUUUGUCUGCAUUUAUGUACAUUUGAGGACAAUGGACAUUUCGUGGGCAUUGUCAUGGAUCGGCCUCUUUUACUAUUUCGGGGUCAGAGGGUUGCGCCAAGACCAUGCCAAGGCAUUGUCGUGGUUUCUCAAGUCUGUGGAGAAGUGACAGCCAAGGGCUAUGGAGUUUCCUGGGGAGAUUUAUGCUAGAUGAGCUGGGGUUGAGAGGAAUUACACCAAGGCUCUGGAGUGGCUUACAUCAGCAUCUAAACAAGAACUUUAUUCGACGUAUAAUGGGAUAGGCUGUUUGUAUGUUAAAGCAUAUGGAGUGGAGGAGAAGAACUACACUAAGCACUGACAAAGCGAAAGAAACAAUCAUUACUAAUACAAAAGACAUAUCAAUGGUUUUGCUGCCACCCUUGAAGAGGAAGAGGCAGCUGAAAUUGCAAAGCAUCCAAAUGUUGUCUCAGUUUCUUAAACCAAGAAAGAAAUUGCAUACAGCCCAUUCAUGGAGCCCAUUCAUAGAAUUUCGUGCUACUGGAAAAGAACGGAGUGAUUCGCCCCAGUUCUUUAUGGAACAAGGCCAGAUGUGGCGAGGAUGCGAUCACGGCCAAUUUUGACACCGGUGUGUGGCCCGAAUCAGUGUGUUAGUGACAAAGGGAUUUGACCCAUUCCAUCAAUGUGGAAAGGAAUCUGUCAGAAUGAUACCACUGGGUUUUCCUGCAACAGUGGCUAAUUAUAUGAUGAGUGGAGAAACUCAUACUACAGACUACAUGGUGCCUGAUGUCAAUGGAAAUGGUCCAGUUGAUAACUAUGGCUAUGAGAAUAUCAUGGAGGAUCCUGCGCAGAACUGUCUAACGGUUCAUUUCUGAGAUCAGCGAAUUUUGUUGAGAAACCUAUUGGAGAGCCCCUGAAGCAGACCUAUGCUUCUAUAUUGCAUUUUGCUAAAGGACAACCUGCAUCAUCUGUAGCUCCUUGGCAUUCAGUUCACAAGAGUGCACCACUGGCUUCAGAUUGGAAUGACUUUUCAGCCCAUUGCAUCGUCCAAUGCAGUUGAAAGGCCUGUAGCAGAGACAGCAGAUGAAAUUUCUGCCCUAGAAGAAUGAAG